rnacentral:rRNA from 1 species
AUUCCAGCUCCAAUAGCGUAUAUUAAAGUUGUUGCAGUUAAAAAGCUCGUAGUUGAACUUCUUGGCAUCCUUUAAGCUGGCUUCGGUCGUUUCAAGGGUGUCAAUCCGCUAGGGAACUACAUUCGCACUUCACUGUGCGGUGUAAGGAACUGGCAUUUUACUUAGAAAAAUUAGAGUGUUCAAGGCAGGCUAUCGCCCUGAAUACACAAGCUUGGAAUAAUGAAAUAGGACUAUUUCCAUUUUAUUGGUUAUUGGAUUUAGUAAUGAUUAAUAGGGACAGUUGGGGGCAUUUGUAUUUAAUAGUCAGAGGUGAAAUUCUUGGAUUUAUUAAAGACAAACUUAUGCGAAAGCAUUUGCCAAGGAUGUUUUCAUUA